AAAAAAGAGACAUUUUAAUUGGAUAAUAAAGUCAUACGAGGGACGAGUAAGGCCCCAAAGCAAUACAUUCCUGGCCAGUCAUGGACUGUUCAAGACACUGACUCAGAGCUCUGGGCCAAACCUCUGUCUUGAAUAUAUUUCAAUUAAGAUAUAAUGAAAUAUAUUUAAUUAAAAUGAAAAUGAAAAUUUAAACAUUUUUUAAAAAUUUAUUUUUAAAAACAUUUUUGUCUUUUUUUAGGGCCGCACCUAUGGCAUAUGGAGGUUCCCAGGCUAGGGGUCUAAUCUGAGCUGUUGCUGCUGGUCUAUGCCAGAGCCACAGCAACACGGGAUCCGAGCUGCAUCUGCGACCUACACCACAGCUCACAGCAAUGCCAGAUCCUUAACUCAACCUACAACCUCAUGGUUCCUAGUCAGAUUCAUUUACCACUGAGCCACAACGGGAACUCUUAAAUAUAUUUUAAAAUUGCCCCUUUUCCAACCUGACACAUAGCAGAGAGUACACUAAUACAUUCUAAAUGGAAAAAAUAAAAAUCAUUAUUAAAAAAUUUAAAAAUGGAAAAAAUAAAAAUCAUUAUUAAAAAAUAUUGACAGAACACUGUAAACCAGGUAUAAUGGAAAAAAAUCAUUAUUAAAAAAAUAAAAAUGGGAAUGAAAACAUUCAGUUACUAUUUAUGUAAUAAAUGAUUUUUUUCAAAAAAAAAAGAAAAAAAAGAGAGAGAGAGAGAGAGGAGUUUCCAUUGUGGCUUGGCUGAAACGACCCGGACUAGUAUCCACGAGGAUGUGGGUUUUGAACCCUGGCCUCACUCAGUGGGUUAAUGAUCCUGGGUUGCCAUGAGCUAUGGUGUAGGUCACAGACAUGGCUUGGAUCCUGCAUUGGUGUGGCUGUGGUAUAGGCAGCAACAGCAGUUCCAACUCGACCCCUAGCCUGGGAACUCCCAAGUUUGGCCCUAAAAUGCAAAAUAAACAAAUAGAAAAAUAGAUGGAGUUCUGUUGUGGUUCAGCAAUAACGAACCUGACUAGCAUCCAUGAGGAUGCAGUUUGAUACCUGGUCUCGCUCCAGCAUUGCCGUGAGCUGUGGCACAGACUGGCAGCUGCAGGUAUGAUUCUGCCCCUGGCCUGGGAACUGCCAUAUGCUGCAUGUUUGGCCCUAAAAACCAAAAACAUAAAAAAAUUUAAAAAAUUAAAAGAGAAAAAGAGAAAUGGGAUAGCACUCAUUUAUCUAUGUAAUUAUUCAACUAUCUGAGCACCUAUAAUGCACCAGGAACAAAACAAGAUGAACACAGCCCUGCCCCGAAAGAGCUUAGGCUCUUUGUCUGCUUAGUCUGCAUGGUCAGGUAUGUCCCAUGCACUCUAGGAACAGAAGGAGACAGCACAGGGUGGGAAAAUAAAGUGAUUUCCAUGUCUCAUAUAGCGGGUCCAGCAGCCAAAACAGAGUCCCCAGUAAAUUCUGCCAAGACCCGCCAUCCUGAAACAAAAUGACCCUGGCCGCCCUUGGCAGAGGAACAACGCAUAGUUGGUAAUUUUCAAGGAAUCUCAAUUUUCUUUGACUUCAGAUAGAGCUCACAGAGGACUGUGAUACCAUCAAGGACAGUGUGCAGUUCCCCCCAAUUUAACCUUCACGGAGGGAGAUGGUUCUGCUGCUCUUUAAAGGCACCGACUCUUGGGCUGGGUGUAUCAGUCCAUGUGGUUUACUUUGCUAGGCGAGAGUAUAUAUACUCACCCAUCCGCCAAAAUCGCUGUUUUGAUUUGAAAUUCCAAAAAUAACUCACAAGAAGCCGACGGUGUGAGCGGAAGAUGAUCACACACGGCUCCAGGGAGGAGAAGAGAAAGCAUUGGAUUUGAAUUACCUAAGAGCUGCAAUGGAGUGCAAACAUCUCCUUGUAGCAACUGCUAUAUAAUUAGCCAUCCUAAUAGAGUCCUUUCAAAACCAAGGCAGUUCCACAAGGAAGUUUAAUUGAAAAUAAAAUUUCCAGACCAACCAUUCUCUCAAAACCACAUUCAAUGAAGAUAGCACAGCAGUGACCAAAUCACCAGUUAAAAGGUAUUAUGUGUUUGGGGGGAGGGGGUGGGGGAGAGGGUGUGUGCUCCUUACAGGGGAAGCGUGGCAAGGUGCCAGGCUCCUUCCCCCCUGCCUCCCACCCCCCACCACUUUCUUGUGUCUUCCAGUCACUGGGCAAAAGGAUUCACUUCUCUUUGGUCAGUGUUAUUGCUGGGCUCCUCCCCUCUGUCAAGUGCUUCCCAGGAUCCUGAAAAGAAGAAGCCAGGAUUUAAAUCUCAGGAUACAGAGGAGAGAAGAGAGGAUGACCUAGUCCUCCAAACCCACUCAUCAAGAGCAGAAAAACCACGUUCAUCCAUGGGCUCACUGGGGACUGCAGUGACCGGAGGGGACCCUGACCACUUUGGACUUCCAUCUUUGUCACUUACUAGGUGUGAGACCUCCGCAGGACUUAACAUCUCUGAGUAGCAGUUUUUCCAUCUUAAAAAAAAAAAAGGAUUAUACUCGCUCACCUCACUGCAUGGGGAGCAAGAUGGACUGUGAUGCUGAACAUUCAAUGGCUGGUGGGUGAUGGAGCCAGAAUUGGCACGUGGGUGACCCAGUGCUCCACAGAGGGUGUCUGGUCCCCCCACAGUGGGAGGAGGGGUGGGAGGAGCACCAGGUGCCUCUUUGCUACUCAGAAUGGGUCGGCCGGAGUUCCCGUCGUGGCACAGUGGUUAACGAAUCCAACUAGAAACCAUGAGGUUGCGGGUUCGGUCCCUGCCCUUGCUCAGUGGGUUAAGGAUCCGGAGUUGCCGUGAGCUGUGGUGUAGGUUGCAGACGCGGCUCAGAUCCCGAGUUGCUGUGGCUCUGGCGUAGGCCAGUGGCUACAGCUCCGAUUCCACCCCUAGCCUGGGAACCUCCAUAUGCCGCGGGAGCGGACCAAAGAAAUAGCAAAAAGACAAAAAAAAAAAAAAAAAAAAAAAAAAAAAGAAUGGGUCAGCUGUGGGCCAGCGGCAUCAGCAUCACGUGGGAGCUCAAUCAUUAGUGCAGAAUCUCAGCCCCACGAAGAUGAAUUGACACGCAAUCUGCAUUUAAUAAGGGCUCCUGGAGUACGGCUCACAUUUGAGAAACAAUGGCCUCCCCCAUCUCACUGGUGUGCGAUGUGGCACCAGGCGACCCAAGUCCAGAGAAAGUGUUCUUAAAGCUGCCCUUUAAAGGGGAGAAGCGGGUUCCCCGGGGCCACGUACGAAGGGAACCAUUUUUGGACUCAUCCCUGGACCGUCACCCAGGCUCCCUGCUUCCUGCCUGCAGAGGGAACAUCAAGGUAGAGCCCACGGCCCCCUGAAACUAAAACAUUCCCCACCCAUCAGGCUGGACCAGCCUGGUCCAAGGCCAUGUCAUCACACAUGCCUGGGAAGAGGCCCCGCGGGCAGAGAGGGACAAUGGCAACAGCUGGUAACAAGCAGAUGGGAGGGGCGGCCUCAGGAGGAUGGGAAAGAAUCGCAGACCACGGGGCCUGCAUCCUAUAAACACAGCCUCACAGUAAGAAAGGAAACACGACACACACAGAUUGUCUAGUAUAUACACAGCCCAUCUCCAGAACAGACACGACCUUCUGACGCGGACUGCCUCCCAGGAGGAAGUGCAAGGGAGGGGACAUUUUACUUUCUCUGCAUAUCUUUUUGGAUCAUUUGAAAACUCUUCAGUGCUGUGAAUGCAUUCCAGGGAAGGGAGGGAGGAAGAGAGGAAAAAAGAGAGGGAGGGAAGGAAAAAUGGAAAAGAAAGGGAGGGACAUUCAAAGGAAAAACUUUUUUAAAAGGUGCUUGAGCUACCUGUUACGCAGGGUUCGGUUUAAAAGUCCUUCCAGGAAAUUUGAGCCAUGAAGCCAACGUUUUUUGCUCAAAGCCACAUGCCUUAGCCCAUGACCCUCCACUCCGACUGAGGAUUCGGUCCCACAGCCCCAGCACGCGGGACACGUGGAGAAAUUCAGUGAGGGCAUGUCCUGGGUGGCAGAGAGUUAUCUUGUUUUUUCGCCCCCCAACCAACCGACACUAUACCCAUCCCACUCUCUAAAAACCCCAGCGGCUCCUGACUGCCCAUGCAGUUCAGCUGAGCACGGAAAAAUCUCUUCCAGAAGAUUCUUAAGCUCUAGUUUUUCAGAGAUUUCCAGUGACUAAAAUGGAGCUGUGGGACACAACACUUAAAGUUUGGGUGAAGGUGGAAGUGCAAAUUGAGGUAAGGAACAAAAUAUAAGGUAACGUGGAAAACCCUAAUUCUGGAAUAAGCAGCACCGACUAUGCCCAGUUUAUAAGGCACUCCCUCCAUCCUGCUGGGAGGAACUCUAAUAGAAACCCGAUUUUAAAGAACAGCAGGAAAGGAAAAAAAAAAGAAAAAAAAAGGGAGUUCCCAUUGUGGCUCAGUGGUAAUGAACCCGACUGGUAUCCAUGAGGAUGUGGGUUUGAUCCCUGGCCUCGCUCAGUGGGUUAAGGAUCCGGUGUUGCUGUGAGCUGUGGUGUAGGUCACAGACGUGGCUCAGAUCUGGCGUUACUGUGGCUGUGGUGUUGGCCAGCAGCUACAGCUCUGAUUCAGCCCCUAGCCUGGGAACUUCCAUGUGCCACGAGUGUGGCCCUAUAAAGACAAAAAAAAUAAAAUAAAAUAAAAUAAAUAAGAAGGCUGAGGGCCAGCAAGGUUAGUGGUCAAUCAGGAGUUAAAUCCUGUACUUUUGCUGUCCCUUCCUUCCUUUCAUGCGCCAGUGUCCCCGCCACUUUUAGAAAUGACCCACACGUCUACCGGUGCUGGCAAUACCACACUGUCUUCAUGGUUGGUGGCCAGAAGCUAUUUCUUUACAAAGAGCAUCACUGGAUCUUCAGCUGAAAAUUAACUUUUCUGAUAUGGGGAGUAGUGGUGGCGUUACCUCGGGCCAUGCAGCUACUCCUGAUGAUGUAUAGCGGGACGGAGAAGAAGCCAGCUUUGAGUCAGAAACUCUUGGGACAAGUCAUGUCCUUGUUACUUGUUGCUGUCUGAUAUUUUGUAAGUGGAUCUCUCUGAGCCUCUGGUUUCUUAAUUUUUUAAAAUGGAAACAACAACUAAAUAUUUAUCAAGGGGGAACUAAGCCAGUGUCAUUCUAACUUCUUUGGUUAGGCAGAAACACCAGGGUUACUAUAGCACGCACAUGGCUGGCGGGAGGGAAGAUGCUGCCUGUCGUGGUACUAGUCCCAGACAGGUGUUCUUGUCCUCAGCUGCCAUCCGGCUUGGGAUUGUGCACAGGCAGGAGCACUGGCGCUCUGCCCUUGAGUCUCCAUACUGACCUCUUCCGUGGGGAGCCUGCAGGGAAACCCGAGUUGGGGCAGCUGAGGGGGGAACCAGGUCUGAUGUCCGCCUGGCACGAAGCAUGGCAGAUUCCAAAAUGAGCUGCCAGUUCUAAGGCACGUGCUUCAGAAAUUCUCCGCAAAUGAUUAAUUACACAGACAGGAGGGUCAGAGUGGGGGAAGGUCCUGCCUACAGAAGAGGCAGCGUACACUCAAAAAGCGGGCAACAUUAGGGAUUGAGCGUGGAAAGCUAUGCAUAGGUGGUGAAGUCACUGCCUGCUGCUCUCUGCAUCCUCACGCAGAUGCUCCUGAUUCCGUUCAGGUCCUGGGCAGGUGGGUAGCAAUAUCCAUGGAAGAGGCAAUCUUGUUCCCUCUGGCUGGGGGAGGACAUCUGGCCCCAUCUGGCCAUGAGGCAUAAGGGGAAGUCGACUGGGGAUUUCUGGGGAAAUUUUCUUCCCUAAUAGAAGACAGAGAGUUGCAGGGAGCAAGACCCCUCCUCUCGCCCACCCGACAUUCUUCCUGCACGAGAUGCUGCGAUGACAAGGUGCCAACUGCCGCAGGGAGGGGCUUCUCAGAGAAGCGAAUCCAGUGCCCCAACAUGUUCCAUCCUUUCCCACGCACCUGACAAUGCCAGGUGCGGGGGGGACACGGGGAGCCAGAGAGCCCUGAGCACCGCCAGUGGAAGCGCAAACAGGUACAGUCAUCCUGGAAAACAAUCUGGUGGUACUUGUGAAAUGAAGCGUGCGCGGUGCAAUGACUCAGCCGGCCCGGCCCUGGCUCCGCACCAGAGGAACUCUCCCGCAGGCCACGCGGGGACAGACGCGGGGUGUUCCUCUCAGGACCUGGCCGGGCUUCCCUCCUGUCAGCGGGGGAUGGAGGAAGUCAACAGGGCAGGACCCGCGGCAAGGGGAGGGUGGAUGCAGCCCCUCGCCUGAGCCAGGGGCGCCCAGACCAACAAGAAGGGAAUCUAAAAAAAGCCAGUAUUGAGUAAAAAGAAAAACAGAGGGAGGGCUGUAAUCGAGUCCUGUUGGUCAGAAUGAAAAACAUACCUAAGCACAGAACGGUACAGUGGGUGCCAGGUGGGGCGCACAGCAAGCCCACUAGAAGGGGCGACUAUGAGGCAUGUAGGCAGGAAGAGUGAGAAAGGCAGAAAAAAAAACAGAAAAGACGAGUCUUGGCGUUCCUGUUGUGGCUCAGUGGUUAACUGACUAGAAUGCAUGAGGACAGGGGUUCAAUCCCUGGCCUUGCUCAGUGUAUUAAGGAUCCUGCGUUGCUGUGGGUGUGGUGUAGGCUGGCAGCUGCAGCUCCGAUUUGACCCCUAGCC
rnacentral:lncRNA from 1 species